rnacentral:rRNA from 1 species
UACGAGAGGCCCAAACGUUAUUCGGAAUUACUGGGCUUAAAGAGUUCGUAGGCGGCAUGACAAGUAGGGUGUGAAAGCCCUCGGCUCAACCGAGGAAUUGCGCUCUAAACUGUCGUGCUCGAGGAAUCUAGAGGUGAGCGGAACUGAUGGUGGAGCGGUGAAAUGCGUUGAUAUCAUCAGGAACACCGGAGGCGAAGGCGGCUCACUGGGGAUUUUCUGACGCUGAGGAACGAAAGCCAGGGGAGCGAACGGG